rnacentral:rRNA from 1 species
UACGAAGGGGGCUAGCGUUGCUCGGAAUGACUGGGCGUAAAGGGCGCGUAGGCGGAUGGUACAGUCAGAUGUGAAAUUCCUGGGCUUAACCUGGGGGCUGCAUUUGAUACGUGUUGUCUAGAGUGAGGAAGAGGGUCGUGGAAUUCCCAGUGUAGAGGUGAAAUUCGUAGAUAUUCGGAAGAACACCAGUGGCGAAGGCGACUUACUGGACACAUAUUGACGCUGAGGUGCGAAAGCGUGGGGAGCAAACAGG